AUUGGUAUCACAACAAAAUGUUGAUUGAACUUUAAAGUAUAACGUUGAUUGACGAUUUGUCAGCUUCCCUUCUGUCACCCCAACAUAUCAUUUUAAGUAGAAGGAAAUCAGAUAAAUGUGCAAACAACUGACAAUUAUUAGCUUGCAUAACUCAACAUUUUAAUGCUGUUGAACCAGCUUGUAGGGAAAUUAGCUAAAGCCAGUCUACACACCCAAACUCGUUUAUUUACCUUUUGUGUGUAUAGAAAUAUUUCCACCUGCCUGGUGGUGCCUGACAAUAAUAUGGCAUAAGUUGUAUCUUCUCCGCAGAAUGUGUUUCUCAGUUUUAACAGCAUUAUCGGUACUGAUUCCCAUUUAGCAGCUGCCAAACCACGAAUGGUUUGGAAUAUGAUUAAAAUGAGCAUAGCCCUGAGCCAUGCUCUGUUCUAUUUCAAUCAAUGGUACACCUGUUGGAAGAAUGCAUCCUUAUUCCAAGCCAAUACACUGAUUACUUGACUUUCAUGAGUUAGAUAACUUCUGAUCAAUACCGAUUUGUUUGUUUCAGUUUAGGUUUUAUUUUACAACUCAAACCCCAUGGCGGUGUACAGUACAGUGUGAUGGAUAUACUUUGUAAGAACAUCUUUAGCUGAUUACUGCUCAUAAUCAGAGCAUUGUGAAUGUGAAUGCACUCAUUACAUUACUGAUCGCUAUGACUUGCAGAAGAACCUGAACUGCUGACAUCCCAGUUGUCAUCUUAAUUACACUUCAGUGCGACUUCUCUGCAUCGGCUGUCUUAAUGACAUGUUUUCUAUUUGUGCCCGUUUCUGACAGCGAUACUUCUUUUUUUUUGUCACUUUCACACCAGAUGUAAAUAACUGUCAUUUCCUUUCUGAUGUAUGUUACAUCUCUCCCUUUUUUAAUCAUCAAGUUCUCAAGGGUUUCUUUUUAACUCCACAUUAUAAUGAAAUGAAUACAUUUUUUUCCAAAAUAACUUUCCCAGACUGUGCAUCAUUAUGAUGAACCGUGCUUACGCACGAGGCACAAUAUCGCCACCGAAUUGCCCUUGAGAAUUCGUUGUUCUGUAAUAUAUCCUAAAAUUAAAAAAAAAAAAGAGUCAUGUUACACAGGCUUAAACCCCUCGCCUAAAGAGUAUCUACCCUAGGAAUACCCCUGAGCCAAGAAAGCAUCUGGUGGAGGAGUUAAAUCCAUCCAGCAGCCACUGUCAGUGCAGGUCCCGGUGGGCCAUGUGGAAGCCAGUGAUAGACAUCCACACCUUUAAAGCACCUGGGUACUUUCUGACGUUAAUCACAAUUCAGUGAGUAAAGUCAGACAACUGGACUCCAGUUCUGAAAUUUUAGCUAAUAUGAUGUGCUCAUGGAAACAUGCAGUAUUCACAUCAUAUAUUUGAAUUGAGAAAAAAAAAAACGGAACCAAUGGGUUAUAAAAGAAUAUAUUGAGUCAAUGCUGUUGUUUUUAUGUUUGUUUUCGAAUUUCACAUUCAGUUAAUUAAUUCAAAUUAAUUUUUCGCGUUUAAGAGAAAACAACAAUUACAGAACAACAUCUUCACUGUGCCACAGGUAACAGCCAGCUACCGCAAGUAACAAUACACCAUACCAGACACCGUGAGUUGUCUCCGGCGUUGUCAGAGAAGCCCACUAUUUGAGAACAGUGCUGUUCGAUGCGUCAUGAUUUGAUUUCUCUGAGUAUGGCAAGUUUCAAAGAGAAAUACUAAGACAGAAAAGAAUGUUGGCAGCCUGCAGCAGAGAAAUGUGAAACCUCCUUCUUAAUGGGGGAGGAAAGAUCGACAGUUACUGUGUCACCACUUGUCAGAAAAAGGAGUGGAGGUAUACUGUGGAGCUUGAGUUGUUCUGAAAGUAGUUUUACAUGGUACCUUCUGCUAGCUGUCGGAGGAAUGCUUGGGGGAAAGGGGGAGUUCAAUAAAGGAUGCAGACUGUUGGCCACAGCAACUGAUAAAGUGAGAAAACAGAGCUGCAGUGGGGUGUCAAACCAAAUUAAUUAUUUCUCAGCAGGGCUUUUUUUAACUACAGUACAUAUUAUGGACCAAGCUUGGAUUACAUACUUUAGCUGACUGGGAAUUGAUCAUUUUGUCCCAAUUAUACAUGAUCUGAAAUGGUGUUAAGGUAUUUUAGUGAGCUAAAUGUAUCUGGGCAGGUUAACUGAGCUACAGUAGAGACUACAGUAGAGACUACAGUAGAGCAGGCCAAUUAAAUGUUGCCUACAAUUGAUUGAAAAGUUCAUUUCAAAUGUAAAAAAAACAAUAGUGCCUGAUGACUGCGAUUGUAACGUUGAUAAUAAAUAUAUAUUUUUUAUAUUAUCAACAACAUUACUUGUAUGUGAAAAGGAACGCACGUAGUAACAAACCCAUGUAUUGUAUAUAUUGUAUGUUGUACAUAGCAUUCUUCUCUAGUUGUAUUGUAUAUUGUACAUAGUGUCUUUUCUUUCCGUAUCUAUUUUCUUGUAUUUAUUCAUUAUACUUUGUCUCCUUGUAAACGGCACUCAGAGCUGAAGGCAAAGGAACACUGUCAUUGUAGAGGGAAACUUGUUUUUUACUAUUCACAUGACAAUAAAAACUUUGACUUGACAUUGACUCUUCACUCGGCUCCACACUUCUUGUUAGCUCUGCAGUGCUUCAUAGUAUUUUCUGAUUGGUGAAGUAGUCUUGCCUAAUGUUGACUUUUUUUUUUUCAUUGAUCCCCCUCUGUUUAAGCUUGCAUACAGAAAAAAAACAAAAAACAAUAAGGAGAUACUCGUGACUACUACUUAGCUGUUUUCUGGUUGUUGUUUUUUUUCAGAAUAAUGGACAACGCUGUUUGUUGUGUGUAGUUGCAGCUCUGUCCAAACGAAACAAAGGCGAUUGAUAGACAGACAGACAGAAAUGGUUUCUUAGCUUGCUUGCUUUCAGCGCAAAUUCAAUUUUCCCCCAUUGUAGCAUUCCAGACAGAAGGGAGAGAGAGAGACGCAAGCCAAAUGUGUCUACGCGCCUCCCCCUGCUUAUUUGAGAGAAGUGUUCACAAAUUCAAAAUAUAUUCAACAUUCUGAUAGUGCUACGUUCUUAUGUGAGUGCUCUGAUUAAUGAAUGCAUUCUUUGAUUUUGAA